rnacentral:rRNA from 1 species
UACAGGGGGUGCAAACGUUGCUCGGAAUUACUGGGCGUAAAGCGUGCGCAGACGGUUGCGUAAGUCAGAUGUGAAAGCCCCGGGCUCAACCUGGGAAUUGCAUUUGAGACUGCGUAGCUAGGGUGCGGAAGAGGGAAGCGGAAUUUCCGGUGUAGCGGUGAAAUGCGUAGAUAUCGGAAGGAACACCAGUGGCGAAAGCGGCUUCCUGGUCCAGCACCGACGUUCAGGCACGAAAGCGUGGGGAGCAAACAGG